AAGAAAAUAGACAUAUUUGCCUUCUGUAAAUAGAAAGACAGAGUCUAAUAGGCUGAUUCAUAGCCGGAAUUAAGCAACUUCUUUUUGUCAAAUUUUCAACCACUAAAUAAUUCCCUAGUGUACAGGAGUUGGAACCUCCUUGGUGUCAUUUAAUACUACCUUUUUUGGGCAGUAAAUGUUAAAGUUGUUUUCCAUAUCUUAGUUAAAUUUUAAAAACUAUAAAACAAAUUUUCCAAUUUUCCAAUUGAAAACUGGCCCAUAUGAACAUGAAUCUCUAUUUUACUGUUUUCUUAUUAAUUUUUUUUCCAAAAAAGUACUCCAGAUUUCCACAAGUGAAGAGGCCCUAAGUUUUUGCAUGAUUAUGAUGCGCAAUUAAUUUCUGAAGAACUAGUUUUACCAUAUUGCUUUACCAGCAUGACAAAGCACAAGAAAUCAUGAAUGAUAAGGGGAAAAGUAAUGUAUGUGGUUCAAGAAGACACAAAACAUCAGGUUCAUAUCCGGGAUUUUGAUUUAAUAACCAAGAAAGUGAACUCAAACCAAUUAGAAAAAUAGAUAUGAAGUCUCACAACUAAGAAG
rnacentral:misc_RNA from 1 species